UAUGGAAGCUUGCUUCACUGAGAAGAUAGUGGCGAACGGGUGAGUAACACGUGGGUAACCCUGCCCAUAAGAGGGGGAUAACAUCCGGAAACGGGUGCUAAUACCGCAUAGUUUUCUUGAUCGCAUGAUCGGGAAAGGAAAGACGGCCUUUGUGCUGUCGCUUAUGGAUGGACCCGCGGCGUAUUAGUUAGUUGGUGAGGUAACGGCUCACCAAGACGAUGAUACGUAGCCGACCUGAGAGGGUGAUCGGCCACAUUGGGACUGAGACACGGCCCAAACUCCUACGGGAGGCAGCAGUAGGGAAUCUUCCGCAAUGGACGAAAGUCUGACGGAGCAACGCCGCGUGAGUGAAGAAAGGUUUUCGGAUCGUAAAACUCUGUUGUCAGAGAAGAACAAGUUGGAGAGUAACUGCUCCAGCCUUGACGGUAUCUGACCAGAAAGCCACGGCUAACUACGUGCCAGCCGCCGC
rnacentral:rRNA from 1 species